rnacentral:rRNA from 1 species
UACGGGGGGAGCAAGCGUUGUUCGGAUUUACUGGGCGUAAAGGGCGCGUAGGCGGCCUGUGCAAGUCAGUUGUGAAAUCUCCGAGCUUAACUCGGAACGGUCAACUGAUACUGCUCGGCUAGAGUGCGGAAGGGGCAACUGGAAUUCUUGGUGUAGCGGUGAAAUGCGUAGAUAUCAAGAGGAACACCUGCGGCGAAGGCGGGUUGCUGGGCCGACACUGACGCUGAUGCGCGAAAGCGAGGGGAGCGAACGGG